rnacentral:lncRNA from 1 species
AUGUCUCAUUACUCAGAACCUCCUGUACGUUAUUCACAUCCUUACCAGCAGGGGUAUAGAUAUACCCCACUCCUAGACACACAAGCUCAGCCACAGCCAUAUUCUGCACCAUUCCCUUCUACUGUACAGCCAGCUCAAGUUCCAAGCAUGGUGGAGAUGGCUAUUGCCUCCUCUUAUGGAAUACCUAAGCCUAAAAUCAUUCAUUUCACUAAAGGGAAGGAGAGUGAUUUUGCUCUAUUAAAGAAGGGACUUGAUGGCAUUCUGGGCCCACAUCUCCAUUUAACGGAGUACUAUAAAUUCCAAGUGUUACUUGAUCAUCUCAAAUUACCAGCUGCCUUUCAAAUAGCUAAGAGAUACAAGCAUGACCCCAUGCCUUAUACCAGAGCCAUGCAAGCUUUGCAGCAGCGUAAUGGACAGCCCAGACAACUGGUACGGGGAGAAAUCGGUAACAUUCUCCGCACACCUCCAUUGAAACCAGGGGAUGCUCAAGGUUUUGAGGACUUUGCGUUGUCAGUUAGUACUCUUGUUGGCCUCCUUAAUACAUUGGAGGGUUCAUCCAAGACUGAACUUAUGUGUGGUUCCCAUGUUGAUAGGUUGCUCACUAAACUUCCAUCCUCUCAAAGGGAUAGUUUUGUUGAAUACUGCAUAAACAAAGGUAUUAUCCAGAAUGGGACUGACAAAACCUACACUCUUCCUGAGUUUGCAGAGUGGCUCGAAAGAAAAUCACAAGCACUUCAGAUAUCAAGGAGAGCAGCUGAUCUCUAUAGUUCAGAUAGACCUCGCUCUGAUAAUCGAGAACAGAAAACUCUGAAGCCACCAAAGGUACAGUCCACAAUCUACUAUGGCAUAGAUCAUGCUACAGAAAAGCCAUCAGACACAUUGUUCCAGGCGAAGAAAGAGCAGACAAAAGCCAAGAAACGGGAAAGCUUUAAGCCCUACUGCCCCUUCUGCAAAUGCCAACAGCAUUACCUCAACUCUUGUCCUGAGUUUGGUAAACUAAACAUUGCUCAAAUAACAGCAUGGAUAAAGGACAACAACAGAUGCUGCAAAUGUGGUAGAGGUCAUGAGCCUGCAAACUGCACCCUGAAAAAGCCAUGUCCCACUUGUGGUGAACAACACUUGUCAGUUAUUCAUGAAACCGGAUCCAACAUCAACAAGGGCAUCCUUACUGUGAAUACAGUACCCCGUACAGUUUACCUUGAUAAAGUAACUCACUCAGGUCAGACUUCAUAG